rnacentral:rRNA from 1 species
AAAUGAAUUGACGGGGGCCCGCACAAGCAGCGGAGCAUGUGGUUUAAUUCGAAGCAACGCGAAGAACCUUACCAGGUCUUGACAUCCUUUGACCAUCCUAGAGAUAGGAAAUUCCCUUCGGGGACAAAGAGACAGGUGGUGCAUGGUUGUCGUCAGCUCGUGUCGUGAGAUGUUGGGUUAAGUCCCGCAACGAGCGCAACCCUUGUAUUUAGUUGCCAUCAGGUAAAGCUGGGCACUCUAGAUAGACUGCCGUAGAUAAUACGGAGGAAGGUGGGGAUGACGUCAAAUCAUCAUGCCCCUUAUGACCUGGGCUACACACGUGCUACAAUGGCCUGAACAACGGGUUGCGAAAUGGCAACAUGGAGCUAAUCCCACAAAUCAGGUCUCAGUUCGGAUUGCAGGCUGCAACUCGCCUGCAUGAAGUCGGAGUUGCUAGUAAUCGCGAAUCAGAAUGUCGCGGUGAAUGCGUUCCCGGGCCUUGUACACACCGCCCGU